rnacentral:rRNA from 1 species
AGAUUGAACGCUGGCGGCAUGCCUAACACAUGCAAGUCGAACGGGAGUAGCAAUACUCUAGUGGCGGACGGGUGAGGAAUACGUAGGAAUUUGCCCUUAAGUGGGGGAUAACCCGGGGAAACCCGGAUUAAUACCGCAUGACCUCGAAAGAGCAAAGUGGGGGAUCGCAAGACCUCACGCUUUUGGAGAAGCCUACGUCGGAUUAGCUAGUUGGUGAGGUAAUGGCUCACCAAGGCGACGAUCCGUAACUGGUCUGAGAGGAUGAUCAGUCACACCGGAACUGAGACACGGUCCGGACUCCUACGGGAGGCAGCAGUGGGGAAUAUUGGACAAUGGGGACGCAAAGCC